ensembl:snoRNA
ACGCGCUGCCUUUGGGCCCCCGCCGUCUGUCCGUGGCCCCGGGGGCCAAGCUGCGGCGCCAGAGCACGCGCUCGCGCAUAACUGGGGUCGCCUGCUCCUCGCGGGCGGCCCUUUUAACCACGAGCAACACGG